CUAGGUAUAGCUCAAGCGGUAGAGUGCAUGCUUAGCAUGCACGAGGUCCUGGGUCCAAUCCCCAGUACCGAAG
rnacentral:tRNA from 1 species